AGUAAAAUGCCUGAAAAAAAAGGGUUAUCGUGAUAGGGUAAAUAAUGUAAUUUAUUACUUUUACUA
rnacentral:tRNA from 1 species